rnacentral:rRNA from 1 species
UACGUAGGGUGCGAGCGUUAAUCGGAAUACUGGGCGUAAAGCGUGCGCAGGCGGCGCGUUAAGACAGGUGUGAAAGCCCCCAGCUCAACUGGGGAAGUGCCUCGGAUACUGGCCGGCUCGAGGGAGGUAGGGGCGGAUGGAACUUCCGGUGGAGCGGUGAAAUGCGUUGAUAUCGGAAGGAACGCCGGUGGCGAAAGCGAUCCGCUGGCCCUCUACUGACGCUGAGGCGCGAAAGCCAGGGGAGCAAAGCGGG